GUGGGUCUUAUCGGAGAAUUAAUUCAACUGGAAGACGGGAGAGAGAAGCUUUGAGAAGUUGUUGUUCUGGAGCGAAGGAGGGAGGGAGAGAGGGAAGAGGCAUAAAGAGAACGAGAACGACAUCUGAAAUCCUCCUCCGACCUCUCUCCUCUCGACGGAGCUGAAGCAGAAGUCGGUUUUCCCUUCCUAAUUCCGAUUGUAGUAGGAGUAUAUGGAGUGGUGGGACAAGGUCACAUUUCCCCUGCGCAAGGUCUGGAUCGGCGUUGCUACGCGUCUCGGCAUUCGUAAAAGCGGGCUAUUGAAGCUGCGGCACGAUGUGAGAAGGUGCGAGUACGAGGACGUGAGAGUGAUGUGGGAAAUGCUGAAUAGGAACGAGUCGUCGGAGAUUAGUCGCUCCCCAUCCAAGAAGCGAAGAAAGAGACCCCUUUGGAAGAUCGUCGCCUGGGCCCGCCAUGCUCCUAGCAUGUGCCGCGGCUUCUGACUCUGUGUCAUCUGUGUUGUGUGGAUUUUUACAUUACAUGUUACUAAUAGUUUCCCGUCAAUAUAGUCCAGUCUAUCUAGUAUAGUAAAAACCCCUAAACAAAAAGAUAUGUUUGUUAUCAAUCAAUCAGACCGUAUCCAUCCAUUUGUGGUAAA